AUGUUUGGCACCCGAGUUUUUUUACAUAACAACCAAAUCACAGUAGCAUGUCCUAAAGAUUUCUUCUUAGGUUACUGGGCUAUGGCAUCCAUAUCAUCAUCAAUAAUCCUCCCAAUAUUGAGUGUCUUUUUCGAGAGGAGAAAAUACCGCGUGAAAGCUCUCUCCACAAAUAGAUCCGACCCACUACGGUUUAUGUCUAACGUGUGGUGCAGUAAGAAAGUCCAAAUUUUGGGAAUGGGGGCCAUGUCCACAACUAGCAUCUUUGAAGGAGAGAUUUUAGAGUUUGGUUGCCAACCUUUACUUGGCUGA